rnacentral:lncRNA from 1 species
GGUAGAUAUUACACAAACUAAAUAUGUUUUUACUCUGGUUAAUUUUAUUUUGUAUUUUCCUUAUAAACUGUCUAAAUGUUGCCUGUUAAUGUUUUACAGGUAUUGCUUCAAGAACACUCAACCUGGGUUAAUUUAAGAUAAUAAGCCUUCACUCAAAGGACAGAUAGGAUAGCACAGACCCCAAUUAAUGUGAGAUUAUAGACAUUAAAGUUAAAGCCCAGUAUUCUUAAUUUAAGACUGGUGAGAGUGACUUGUAGAUGUUUAAGAUCAAGACUCAAAAAUUAAAAUUAAAUUAAAAGGGACCAAGAACCAAUAUUUGGCUCUUGUCCUCCGAGUCAGUGUAAACCCAGGGAACAGGGAACUUCUCUAAAGAGCUUUGCAACUUUGGGCCCCAUAACCUCCAGAUCAGGGAGAUUAAUGAGACCCCUGGAGAACAGAAAGCCAAUCGAUGCACUUGCCAUGAAGAGGAGGGUUAUUGGAGAAGGGAGACAUCCCUGGUGCUUCCAAGGGAAGCCACAUGGUCUGCAAGACCUGGAUCCCUCCUAGCACAAAUGGCCCUAGCAGAACUAAGAAAUUGCUCUCAAGUCCCCACAAGAGUAACUCCUAUGGAAACUCAGCUGACUCUUAAUAAUAGAGAGAAACAAAAGUCAUUUUGACUUGCUUCAUCCUAAACACCUAACAAAAAUAGUUAAAACCAAAAGAUAGCCACUCCUAGGCAUUUAAAGAUAAAUAAUAAUAGUUAAAUAUAACUUAACCUAUACACUUAUGUUAGCCCCCAAGAUAAGUAAGACUGGAGGCUACAAAGAGGGAUUCUCAGGCAGGAAUGCCUGAUAACUAUCAAAAGAAACUAUCAAGAGGAACUGCCAGAGUCAGAAGUUUUUAGUUAAUUUAAGGCCUGCAGAUAUUCCUAACCUACACAGGUAAGCUUGAUGUUUGUGAGUAUGACUAUCCAGCCCUAAGUAACAGAAAUAAAGGGUUCUCUACUAGACACGGAGGUCAUACCAGCAAAAAUUUUACAAGAUCAGAUGACAUUGAGUAGCUUAACUACAUCUCAUGGGGAUGGACAUCUACAACAUUAAAAGUUAAAUGUUGUGUUUACAUUCCUGAUAAUUCUAAAGAUGUUAAAAAUUUACAUUCCUAUAUAAAGGCCUUGUCCACUCUGGCCUUAUUAUGGGGACAGCUUCUCAAUCUUCACACCUCCUGGUGAGAAAAUAUUAACUUCUGCCAUCUUCAUGAUAUUCAUUGACAUGUUCCAGAGGCAGCAAUAUUUGUUCAGUACUCAUGUUUUUUGUUUCUCUUUCAUAGAAGCACCCAUCCUCACAGAACUUUACAACCUCUUCUUCCCCAACCAGACUUCAAUCUGACCUGAACCCCACAUCGCCCCCUCUCAGCUCCGAAGAAGCCAGAACAAGCGCCACCCCUUUCCUUACAACAGUGAAGCCAGAAAUAGACAGUCAAUAUAGAUAGGUAAAUCUAGUCAGGUCGGAUCAGGGGGCCAGUUUUGGGUGAGUCCAAGAGGGAUUAAAAUUGAAAUGUAACCUGAGGGAUUAAAAUUCCUUCAGAGCUCUUCCUCUACCCUAUCAAAGAUUUGAAAGGGACACAUAAGACAAGGGGGAAUGAUGAACCCAGCUUAAUUCUAUCUUAAGAUUGGGAGACAUCUCAUCGCAAAGUCAUAAAAAGUUAAUUUCUGUUUUACUAUAAAUUACUGCGAUUUCUAAACUUGCUUGGAAUGCCUGCCCAUGCCUUGAACUCACCCGUGUCUGGUUUUCCCUGACCAGAUAACAACCCUCUCUGAAACCCUAUUGGUGCCUCAUAAAUUCUGAUAUUGGGAUCUAAAUUUAUUUCCUAAGUGCUGAACCAUUUAGACCAUUAAACUACUACCUGCCUUUGUAUUAUGCUUGUCAAAAUCCUGUUAUCUGUAAGUUCUCAAGACACCCGCCUUUUUGCAACUUUUUGUGCUAUAAAACUACGCUCCUAGAGAGCUGGGGUACUGUUCUCUAACCCACGGAUUUCGG